UUUGUCGCGUCUGCCGUGAAAGUCCGAGGCUCAACCUCGGAUCUGCGGUGGGUACGGGCAGACUAGAGUGAUGUAGGGGAGACUGGAAUUCCUGGUGUAGCGUGAAAUGCGCAGAUAUCAGGAGGAACACCGAUGGCGAAGGCAGGUCUCUGGGCAUUUACUGACGCUGAGGAGCGAAAGCAUGGGGAGCGAACAGGAUUAGAUACCGUGGUAGUCCAUGCCGUAAACGUUGGGCACUAGGUGUGGGGGACAUUCCACGUUUUCCGCGCCGUAGCUAACGCAUUAAGUGCCCCGCCUGGGGAGUACGGCCGCAAGGCUAAAACUCAAAGGAAUUGACGGGGGCCCGCACAAGCGGCGGAGCAUGCGGAUUAAUUCGAUGCAACGCGAAGAACCUUACCAAGGCUUGACAUGUGCCAGACCGCCUCAGAGAUGGGGUUUCCCUUCGGGGCUGGUUCACAGGUGGUGCAUGGUUGUCGUCAGCUCGUGUCGUGAGAUGUUGGGUUAAGUCCCGCAACGAGCGCAACCCUCGUUCCAUGUUGCCAGCACGUAAAGGUGGGGACUCAUGGGAGACUGCCGGGGUCAACUCGGAGGAAGGUGGGGAUGACGUCAAAUCAUCAUGCCCCUUAUGUCUUGGGCUUCACGCAUGCUACAAUGGCCGGUACAAUGGGUUGCGAUACUGUGAGGUGGAGCUAAUCCCUAAAAGCCGGUCUCAGUUCGGAUUGGGGUCUGCAACUCGACCCCAUGAAGUCGGAGUCGCUAGUAAUCGCAGAUCAGCAACGCUGCGGUGAAUACGUUCCCGGGCCUUGUACACACCGCCCGUCAAGUCACGAAAGUUGGUAACACCCGAAGCCGAUGGCCUAACCACCUUGUGUGGGGGGAGUCGUCGAAGGUGGGACUGGCGAUUGGGACUAAGUCGUAACAGGGGUAACC
rnacentral:rRNA from 1 species